ACAAAAGGAUUGCAUCUUUCAGCAAUACUCGUUCUUUGGCAAUAACUAAGGAAGACCUACAAUUAGUAAAAGUGAUUAUGAUGAGACGCCAACAGCCACAGCUACAGCUGGAUAGAUGACCCUUCUCUCAGAUUUCCUUACUUUGCUCCUCCUGAAGCAUUUCGCAGGCUCCUGUGAUAGCUCCUCAGAAGCUUUAUUCCCCGAGUCCCCGAGGCUGCUAGUAGAAUUCCUCGCAGGAGGCUGAAGACCUGGGAACACACACCACAACAUUUCAGAAGAAGAUUACAGGUGGAAAAAACAAACAAACACCGCCACUUACUGUCCUCGCUGGCAAGAACAAACGAUUCGGGAGUUCUUUCAGGGAGUGGAGGAGGAGAA